AUCAUUGUGAACUCUUGUGAGAGAAAGAGGAGCAUUGCGCUUGGACUCGUCUGCUUGAAGCCAGAUCAACAGAUCUGAACCCUCAGAGCCAUCUUUGAUUUUGCGAGAUCAGGCCCCCCACUUAGUGUAUUUGACAAGCUGAGUUUGACACUCUGUAUCAGUGAGUGUCAGUUUGUCAAAUACCCCAAGUGAGGUGUCACUUGUCUACAAAGGUAACCCAUCGUGGGUUACUCCACAGACUGAGCAGCCAACUCCAAAGAGUGAUCUACCACACCAAGGAAACGGAAAACACCAAGACAACAGGCUCGAAGCGCUCUUCUUGUGAAACUUUUGAGGAUAUAGACAAGGAACAAGGUUUACAGUGGUUUUGGUGAAGACAGACAAAUGCGUAGUCAUUGCAUAAUCUGUUUAACAGUCAGUUAUUUGGUAAAUCAUUAAUUCAAUUGUUUUAAUGUACAGGAUGAUUAAUUGUAUCGCACGAGUAUCCAAAUAUGUAUAAUUAAUAAUAAUAAUAAUAAUUAAUUAGACUUCAUAGAUAUGUUUGAAUAAGAGAGAUGUGUGUCAAUAGAACAAGACAACCUGACAUCUUAAACCCAAUUUUGUUUUUCAGUCUUUUUAUUUUUAGGCUUUUCAGUCACUACAUAUCUCAGCUAAAGAUGCCACAUAUUGUUAUUUUUGGGACAGGUAAGGCUGCUCUGAGAUUCCAUCAUUUGUUGUGUGAGCAAAAAAGUGUUUUGACACAUUUUGCAUCCAGAGGCUUACAGAGGUUCAAAUAAGGUUUUGAAAAAUAUUGUUCAAAACUCAUGCGAAUGACCUAAAUAUAAUUUUUUAAAAAAUAAUUUCUACUUUGACACUGAAGGGAUGAUCAGUCUUUAAUGAGACUUCACAUCUGUUAACAUUUUUGGUGUUUGCCUCAUUUCUCCCAUUCAGUGUUUUGCUAAAACAUUUUGUUCAGCAUUGAUGAAAGUGUCCACAAGACACGUGGGGCCGCAUGUCUUUUCAAAUUAACAAGUGAAAAUCAGACUCUGACUUGGUUGACAUGCAGAGGGGAAGACUAAGAAUAGUCCUAUAAAGUAUACAGUGACCUUGCAGAAUCCUGUGUGUCCUCUUAGUCUUUUAGGGGAUUUAAUCAUGAUAAUGUGAUCUGCCACAAUGCAUCAACCAUGUAUAAUAAAGGUGAAUGAGGUGCAUUUUUAAA